UUUUCGGACAAUGGAAGUAGAGGAAUGUGGCGGACGGGUGAGUAACGCGUGAGGAACCUGCCUUGAAGAGGGGGACAACAGUUGGAAACGACUGCUAAUACCGCAUGACGCAUAGAGGUCGCAUGAUCUUUAUGCCAAAGAUUUAUCGCUUCAAGAUGGCCUCGCGUCUGAUUAGCUGGUUGGCGGGGUAACGGCCCACCAAGGCGACGAUCAGUAGCCGGACUGAGAGGUUGAACGGCCACAUUGGGACUGAGAUACGGCCCAGACUCCUACGGGAGGCAGCAGUGGGGAAUAUUGGGCAAUGGGCGCAAGCCUGACCCAGCAACGCCGCGUGAAGGAAGAAGGCUUUCGGGUUGUAAACUUCUUUUAAGAGGGAAGAGCAGAAGACGGUACCUCUAGAAUAAGCCACGGCUAACUACGUGCCAGCAGCCGCGGUAAUACGUAGGUGGCAAGCGUUGUCCGGAUUUACUGGGUGUAAAGGGCGUGCAGCCGGGUCUGCAAGUCAGAUGUGAAAUCCAUGGGCUCAACCCAUGAACUGCAUUUGAAACUGUAGAUCUUGAGUGUCGGAGGGGCAAUCGGAAUUCCUAGUGUAGCGGUGAAAUGCGUAGAUAUUAGGAGGAACACCAGUGGCGAAGGCGGAUUGCUGGACGAUAACUGACGGUGAGGCGCGAAAGUGUGGGGAGCAAACAGGAUUAGAUACCCUGGUAGUCCACACUGUAAACGAUGAAUACUAGGUGUGCGGGGACUGACCCCCUGCGUGCCGCAGUAAACACAAUAAGUAUUCCACCUGGGGAGUACGAUCGCAAGGUUGAAACUCAAAGGAAUUGACGGGGGCCCGCACAAGCGGUGGAUUAUGUGGUUUAAUUCGAAGCAACGCGAAGAACCUUACCAGGGUUUGACAUCCUGCUAACGAAGUAGAGAUACAUUAGGUGCCCUUCGGGGAAAGCAGAGACAGGUGGUGCAUGGUUGUCGUCAGCUCGUGUCGUGAGAUGUUGGGUUAAGUCCCGCAACGAGCGCAACCCCUAUUGUUAGUUGCUACGCAAGAGCACUCUAGCGAGACUGCCGUUGACAAAACGGAGGAAGGUGGGGACGACGUCAAAUCAUCAUGCCCCUUAUAUCCUGGGCUACACACGUAAUACAAUGGCGGUCAACAGAGGGAAGCAAAGCCGCGAGGCAGAGCAAACCCCCAAAAGCCGUCCCAGUUCGGAUUGUAGGCUGCAACUCGCCUGCAUGAAGUCGGAAUCGCUAGUA
rnacentral:rRNA from 1 species